rnacentral:rRNA from 1 species
GCAACGCGAAGGAACCUUACCAGGUCUUGACAUCUUUUGAUCACCCUGAGAGAUCAGGUUUCCCCUUCGGGGGCAAAAUGACAGGUGGUGGCAUGGUUGUCGUCAGCUCGUGUCGUGAGAAUGUUGGGUUAAGUCCCGCAACGAAGCGCAACCCUUAUGACUAGUUGCCAGCAUUUAGUUGGGCACUCUAGUAAGACUGCCGGUGACAAACCGGAGGAAGGUGGGGAUGACGUCAAAUCAUCAUGCCCCUUAUGACCUGGGCUACAACACGUGCUACAAUGGAAUGGUACAACGAGUUGCGAGACCGCGAGGUCAAGCUAAAUCUCUUAAAGCCAUUCUCAGUUCGGACUGUAGGGCUG